rnacentral:rRNA from 1 species
AGAGUUUGAUCCUGGCUCAGAAUCAACGCUGGCGGCGCGCCUAACACAUGCAAGUCGAACGAGAAAGUGGAGCAAUCCAUGAGUACAGUGGCGUACGGGUGAGUAACACGUGGGUGAUCUACCCUUUGGUGGGGAAUAACUCUGGGAAACCGGAGCUAAUACCGCAUAAUCCUGAGAAGGAAAAGCAGCAAUGCGCCGAAGGAGGAGCCCGCGGCCGAUUAGCUAGUUGGUAGGGUAAAAGCCUACCAAGGCAAAGAUCGGUAGCCGGCCUGAGAGGGCACACGGCCACACUGGCACUGAAACGCGGGCCAGACUCCUACGGGAGGCAGCAGUGGGGAAUCUUGCACAAUGGGGGAAACCCUGAUGCAGCGACGCCGCGUGAGCGAUGAAGCCCUUCGGGGUGUAAAGCUCUUUCGGCAGGGAAGAUUAUGACGGUACCUGCAGAAGCAGCUGCGGCUAACUACGUGCCAGCAGCCGCGGUAAUACGUAGGCAGCAAGCGUUGUUCGGAGUUACUGGGCGUAAAGGGUGUGUAGGCGGCUCCUUAAGUUUGGUGUGAAAUCUCCCGGCUCAACCGGGAGGGUGCGCCGAAUACUGAGGGGCUAGAGUGCGGGAGAGGAAAGUGGAAUUCCUGGUGUAGCGGUGAAAUGCGUAGAUAUCAGGAGGAACACCGGUGGUGUAGACGGCUUUCUGGACCGUAACUGACGCUGAAACACGAAAGCGUGGGUAGCAAACAGGAUUAGAUACCCUGGUAGUCCACGCCCUAAACGAUGCAUAUUUGGUGUGGGUCAUUCAGUUGAUCCGUGCCGGAGCUAACGCGUUAAAUAUGCCGCCUGGGGAGUACAGUCGCAAGGCUGAAACUCAAAGGAAUUGACGGGGGCCCGCACAAGCGGUGGAGCAUGUGGUUUCAAUUCGACGCAACGCGAAGAACCUUACCUGGGCUCGAACGGCUGGUUAACGGCGGUGGAAACAUCGCUACCGA